GGGCAGGGCUGUGGCAGGAAGCAGCCCCUCAGCCCAGGUCCUCCUCCCCCAGGGCUGUCCAGGAAGCCCAUGGGGGUCAUCUGGAGGGGACUCAGCCCUAGAAGGGCAGAAAGCCAAUGGGGUCCUCCCAAGCAUGGUCAUUUUCAUUGCCAUCAUUGGAAUCCUGAAGGUUCCAGGUGGGGAGUGGGAGAGUCAUGUUGAGGCCACAGGGCAGAGGAGAGUAAGCAGAGACAAGGUCCCCAGGGACCGUGUCCUCUUGUGCCCAUUCCCAGGAUUCUCUGGGGGCCCCAUCCCCCCACUCUCAGGACCCAGCCCUGCAGCAGGGAGGCCUCCCAGGGAAGCCUCCAGGACCCCACCCUGCACAGUCUGUAGGGAGCAGGAAAAAGGACGACACCAGAGACCCCUGCAGCCGGUCCUGGCCUCCCUGUGAGCCACUAUAACACAAAGCUAAUAUGAAUAAAGAAGAAAGAAGACAUAGAGAGAGAGCUGGGUCUUGGGGCUGAUCGGGGGGCUGCUUUGGGCAGCAAAGACAAAGGCCCCCAAGGACAGCCAGGAUUUACUGGUUACAAGCAUGGGAAGAAAGUGGAGCAGGGUAUGUUUUGAAGACAUCUAAUGAUAUAAGGCCAAACAUCUGGCAUGAUGGCACCAAGCAGGGCUGUAAGGGAGGAGACACUGCUAUCUUGCUUGGAUAGCACAAACUGAUAUUGG
rnacentral:lncRNA from 1 species